GGCUUGUUACCUUGACAUUUCAUGUGGGUAACAUGCUCCCGGCGUCGUGAAUAAAGCUGCAGUCUCACACCAGUUGUCUUGGAUUAAUUUUGACCACAUUAAUGGCGACGAGGAUGGGAUUACCUAUCAAUGAGGCACAGUGAGGAGGACCAAAGGCGCAGGACCCCAACCAUGUCGACUGGAGGGAGAUCUCUUUGUGAUCUUGGGAGAAGGCCGUCAUCGGCAACAAACACUGCUUUGCGGCACCCAGCCUGGCCAGAGGGAAUCCUCCUGUGUUUCGGAUACGGUAACGACCGUAUUCGGUGGUCACAGACAACGUGGUGGUGGCCUCAGCCCUUCAAAAAAAAAAAACUUCCAGGACACACCCAGCCAAGCCAGGCUCCUGGAGACUCAUCAAAGAUUUGUAAAGGACACUGGAACCUCAUCAAGUGUUCUUAGCGACACCUACAGCCAUGAGGAUUGCGGAUAGAGACUCUUGGGUCCAUUUGUCACACUAUAGAGUGGUGAAGAAUCCGGAACAAUACAUGGAUUGAACUGAGUAUCAUAACCAACAGGUGGUUGCACGAGAGGAUUGACAAACAUUUUUUGCAAUAGGCUGAAGAAUACAUAUUUUGAAGAGGAUUAAUAAAAUAUCACUAGCAUCUUAUAAGAAUAUUCUUUCUCAGUUUAGCUAGUUACAAGUUUGUUGUUUUGGUUUAUUUUUAUUUUUGACAGUAACCUGAGGAGGGACUAAACCACCAAAGUCAGCUCUGCUGUUGAAGACUAGGAUUAGGUUUUAUUUUGGGUUUGAAUAACUGAGAAGACGAGAUGUUGGUGAUUGUUUUGCUUAUUAUUCAUCUAAGGGUUAUAACUUUCUCCCUUAAGGAUGAAGUGUGUGGUAACAAUAAAGUAUGUGAGUUAGCCUUUUGUGUCAAAACAACAUUAACAGGAAAUAAUGACACAUGUUGGGUAUGCCAAUCUUUUCAGGUGCAAGCGUUUCCCUAUAUGACUUCUCAGGACUUUGUAUGUGCAGCAGUUCAACUACAGUAUGUACAAGCCCUCAGUGUCUUUCAGCAGUGGCAUGAUCCCAUGCCAAGGGGAACUUAUGAAGAUUCAGAUAAAUACUAGAUAUUAAGAUAGAAGAACAUGGUAAUGACAGAAGUAUAACAGAAGUCUGACCUUGUGUUGAAUGCUCGGUGUAAAUGAUAAUGACGCUUGUGAUUUCUUUUGUUUAUUGUGUCAUUUAUAUAUAUUACUGCAUUAAGAAUGUAGCUUUAUAGCUCCACAGGGGGGAAUAUGUGGGAUAAAUUUUAUAUGUCUCUCAUUGAAUGUUUAGUAUACCUUACAUACAUGUAGUGAAAUCUAAUUGUCAUCUCCUUACUCUGACCCUUGUGUUUUCGGAAACUCCUAUGUUAGAAUGUUUAGUUAAAUUAACCCUUGUGUCAGCAAAUUGUGGGUAACCCUCAGGAUGGGGGGUCAUAAACAUUUCUUAUCUUUGUCAAAACA